rnacentral:misc_RNA from 1 species
GAAAUGCGAUAAGUAAUGUGAAUUGCAGAAUUCAGUGAAUCACCGAAUCUUUGAACGCACAUUGCGCCCGCCAGUAUUCUGGCGGGCAUGCCUGUCCGAGCGUCAUUUCAACCAUCAAGCCCCCGGGCUUGUGUUGGGGACCUGCGGCUGCCCGCAGGCCCUGAAAACCAGUGGCGGGCUCGCUGUCACACCGAGCGUAGUAGCAAUCACCUCGCUCAGGGCGUGCUGCGGGUUCCGGCCGUUAAACAGCCUUACAAAACCCAAGGUUGACCUCGGAUCAGGUAGGAAGACCCGCUGAACUUAAGC